AGGGCACCAAAACUGAAAUUUUCUGCUAGUGUGGGUUGCACUUUGAAAUUGCAAAAACACUUAAUGCCAACAAGUUUUAAACACCAAAUGUGGUAUGUUGGGAGUGCCAAAGUUGAUGUACACAUUUUUAUGCUAAAAGUCAACAUUUUUGGUUGACCAAUGAUGAAUAGUGACACCAAAAAAGUUGAAAUUCACAAAUUGAAGAAUUUAAAAGUUUCAAAUGCCCUAGUAUACCUAACAAGAUUGGUUUGGAUAGUUUGGCAUUCCAAUAGGGUUC
rnacentral:misc_RNA from 1 species